CACGUAGGGGGCAAGCGUUGUCCGGAUUCAUUGGGCGUAAAGAGCUCGUAGGCGGCUCAGCAAGUCGGGUGUGAAACCUCCGGGCUCAACUCGGAGACGCCACUCGAUACUGCUGUGGCUAGAGUCCAGUAGGGGAGCAUGGAAUUCCCGGUGUAGCGGUGAAAUGCGCAGAUAUCGGGAGGAACACCAGUGGCGAAGGCGGUGCUCUGGGCUGGAACUGACGCUGAGGAGCGAAAGCGUGGCGAGCAAACAGG
rnacentral:misc_RNA from 1 species